UUAGUAACGGCGAGCGAACAGGGAAAAGCCCAGCACUGAAUCGCGCGGACCACAGGGACGCUGCGAAAUGUAGUGUUUGGGAGGGUCCGUUAUUUCGUGAUUUGUUAACGCGUCCAAGUCCUUCUUGAACGGGGCCACUUACCCAAAGAGGGUGCCAGGCCCGUAGCGACCGUUGACAAUUGCGAAAGGAUCUCUCCUUAGAGUCGGGUUGCUUGAGAGUGCAGCCCUAAGUUGGUGGUAAACUCCAUCUAAGGCUAAAUAUAACCACGAGACCGAUAGCGAACAAGUACCGUGAGGGAAAGUUGAAAAGAACUUUGAAGAGAGAGUUCAAUAGUACGUGAAACCGUUUAGGGGUAAACCUGAGAAACCCGAAAGUUCGAUCGAGGAGAUUCAGUGUGUCUCGGUGUGCGCGAGUGCCGUUUGUAGACGUUUGUCGUUCGCGGCAAGCGCUUCAUACGUGCGCCGUUGCGUGCCAGAACGCAUGCACUUCUCCUCUAGUAGGACGUCACGACCCGUUGGAUGUCGGUCUUAGGCUUGCAGUGGAGCCCGAACGUCGGUUUCGAUCGUCGUUCGGACCUGUGAUGUCCCGACCGACUGUUUGACGGUAUGAUAAAGGCGCAGAGCCGCGACUUGUUCGCGUUUGGCCCAGUACAAGCAUGCUCGGUUUCUUGAUCAUCGGACUUGUGCCGAUCUCGAGGCCGGACAGCUGUUAGUGUUGGUGUUCCCAAACAGACUCUGUACUCGCCUGUCGGUGACGCUAUAGCUUUGGGUACUUUCAGGACCCGUCUUGAAACACGGACCAAGGAGUAUAGCAUGUGCGCAAGUCAAUGGGACUAUCGAAUCCUAAAGGCGUAAUGAAAGUAAAGGCAGAGCCUAGCUCAGCUAAGGGAAGAUGGGUGACUUUGGUCGCUCCGCACUCCCGGGGCGUCUCGUUCUCAUUGCGAGAAGAGGCGCACCUAGAGCGUAAAUGCUAUGACCCGAAAGAUGAUGAACUAUGCCUGGUCAGGAC
rnacentral:rRNA from 1 species